UCUCCAUGUGCUUAACAUAUAUAUAAACACUCUUUACUAUGAUACAUACUAGUCAUCUUUCUGGUCCACAUAUAAAGCAUAUUGAAAUUCCAGUUGUAAUUAAAUAUGACAUCUCUUUUUGGGUUUUUGCCCUAGUUUUAUCAAUAUUCAAUGCAUAAAAAAAUAAAUAUAUAUAUAUAUAUAUGUAAAUUAGAAAUGGCAUGUGAAAACUAAGGAGUGAUACCACUUAGAAUCACAAUAAGAGAAAAAAAAAUGCAAGAAAUGUACUUUUGGGUAUAGGUGGUCCAUGGCAAAUCUUUAAUUCAGAUUUGUGUUGAUAUUUUGCAAGACAAAUAAUAUAUGCAGGAUUAAAGGGUAACAUCAUCAGUAACAUUUAAAUUAAUGUGCCUUUUUCAAUACGACCCUAUGUAAUAAACUUCCCCUAUAGUUAAGAAUUAAACCCAAUGUUAAUUAAUUUGGAAUUUGUGAAUUAUAUAUUUAAGUGUGCCAUUCUUCAAUCUAGGUUUCAUCGUACAAGCUCUUCAUAGAUUAAUAAUGGAAAUAGUGGUCCAUGACCGAGAUUAAUCGAUUUAAUUAAUAUAUGAACACAUCUGCAUUUCAGAUAUUUUUCACUUAAUAUAUACAAUAUAUCAUAAUUGUCAUAGUAUUCCUUAAUUAAUAACCAUAUUAUAUUUUUAAAGAAAUGAUAUAUUGUGUUAUAUUUUUUUUUCUUUUCUUUUCGUUACAUAUACAUUUAGAGGAAGAAGUGUAGAAAUUCUUUGUUUUUUUUAAAGCUUAAUUAAUUCAUGAAAAUAUAGUUUUUUUUAAUUUUUUCCUCAUGUAUUUGCUGGAAAUUUUCCUCUAGGAACUCUUCCUGUGUAUUUAGAAUUGUACGAGUUGGCUAAGACAAUACAAACACAUAUAGAAAGAGGGGCUUCAGCGAAAAGGAAGAAGAAGAAGAAGAA
rnacentral:misc_RNA from 1 species